UACGUAGGGGGCAAGCGUUGUCCGGAUUCAUUGGGCGUAAAGAGCUCGUAGGCGGUUCAGCAAGUCGGGUGUGAAACCUCCAGGCUCAACCUGGAGACGCCACCCGAUACUGCUGUGACUUGAGUCCGGUAGGGGACCACGGAAUUCCUGGUGUAGCGGUGAAAUGCGCAGAUAUCAGGAGGAACACCAAUGGCGAAGGCAGCUCGCUGGGACGGUACUGACGCUGAGACGCGAAAGCGUGGGGAGCAAACAGG
rnacentral:rRNA from 1 species